CCGAUAAUGCCGUUUUUGAAGGGUUCUAUUCCCAACCGUGUAUACAUACCUUUGUUGCUUUGGCAGGCCGCCUUCGGGCGUCGGCUCACGCUGACCGCGCCUGCCAGAGGACCCAAACUCGUUUGUUUAGUGAUGUCUGAGUACUAUAUAAUAGUUAAAACUUUCAACAACGGAUCUCUUGGUUCUGGCAUCGAUGAAGAACGCAGCGAAAUGCGAUAAGUAAUGUGAAUUGCAGAAUUCAGUGAAUCAUCGAAUCUUUGAACGCACAUUGCGCCCCUUGGUAUUCCGAGGGGCAUGCCUGUUCGAGCGUCAUUAUGACCACUCAAGCCUAGCUUGGUAUUGGGGUUCGCGGUCUCGCGGCCCUUAAAACCAGUGGCGGUGCCAUCUGGCUCUAAGCGUAGUAAUUUAUCUCGCUAUUGGGUCCGGUGGUUGCUUGCCAACAACCUCCAACUUCUAAGGUUGACCUCGGAUCAGGUAGGGAUACCCGCUGAACUUAAGCAUAUCAAUAGCGGGGAAGAAAA
rnacentral:rRNA from 1 species